rnacentral:misc_RNA from 1 species
UACAGAGGGUGCUAGCGUUGUUCGGAAUUAUUGGGCGUAAAGGGCGCGUAGGCGGCUUCGUGUGUCGGGCGUGAAAGCCCACCUCUCAAAGGUGGAAUUGCGUCCGAAACUACGGAGCUAGAGUGUCGGAGAGGGUAGUGGAAUUCCUGGUGUAGAGGUGAAAUUCGUAGAUAUCAGGAGGAACACCGGUGGCGAAGGCGGCUACCUGGACGACAACUGACGCUGAGGCGCGAAAGCGUGGGGAGCAAACAGG